rnacentral:lncRNA from 12 species
ACCCCCACCCCUGCUUGUGCUCUCAGUCUCUCUCUCUCUUUUAUUUUUAUCUCUGUCAAAUAAAUAAAUAAAUAAAUUUUUUUUAAAAAAGAAAAAAGAAAGAGUAUAGGUAAAGUAAAUGAAACUGUAGACAUAUGCAGACAAAUAUUUUACACGGCUGUUUUUAUGGAACUGUCAAUCAAUCUCUCUCUCCCUUCCCCUGCCCUCCACACACACUAAGGAUGAGCAUCAUUUUAGCUAAACUCAAUGUCAGCCUUGCUUCUUUGUUACCUUUACCUGUCCUUACUCAAAUUAUUCUCCUCAGAUUCCAAACUGGUCCUCACUAUCCGAUUGUGUGAAUCCAAGAUCAGACAUCUCUAAAGCUUAUUGUCUACGUGGCCAUGACAUUAUUGUUUGGCUGUCUUCAUUAACAUGACUUCUAUUGUCUUCAUCAACACAACUUUUUUAUUUUAGGAAGCUCUGGAGCAGAGAGAUAAAUGUUUAUCGAUUCUCAAUGCUUUUUGAAACACUCCCCUCAAGACACUCAUCUUAUGUCCACCAAUCCAAAACUAGUUUAUCAUAAUCAUUAGCUAAUUCUAAUCAAGCCCUUGUAUUGAAAGACCCAUUUUAAACUCAAACCCAAAAACCACUUAAAUAGUCCAACAUUGUCCUUCCUGCUCCAAGAUGCUAUUAAAACUUUGUCAAGGAAGAAAGCUUACUUACCAUGGUAAGCAACAAACUCAGUUUUGCCUUAGCAACAGGCUGUUUUGGUAGUAUUUUUAGGGAGCUAGCAUUCAGCAAUUGCAAGCCUUGGAGCGGGUGUUCUUAGUUUGAUGAUUAUAGUAUAUAGGAGGGGGGUGUACGGGUAUAAUUUGAUCUAUAAUAAGAAAGGUUUUUAUAUCUAGUGUUAAUGUGGCUGCUGCCUUUUACUGUUUUCUUCUGUUUUCUUCUUAUUACAUUCAUGCUUUACCCUAGUGAAAUUCCCUUAAGCUUUCUUCUAAAUGCUGUACUCUCCCCUCACUUUCCUUUGUUCUUCUGGUGUGCAAUGAAAGGUCUCAGGCAUUCCGCACAUCUAAAAGACUACAACCAUGACCCAUAUUCACUAGACAACAACUCACUGAAGAUUAUCAUAAUCCUCCAGAGGACCCUUCUCCUAAUUAGCAGAUCUCUCCCUGGUCACACUAGCUACACAGCUCAACCUGGCCAGUCCAGAAUUGUUACAUCUCUACAAGUGGUUACUGAGACAGCUUCACAGCUUCUGAGGACAAAGAAGACUGUCUUUUCCAUGGAAGAACAAUGCUUCAAAACAUCCUUUGAAUGGCUACUUUCUAACCUAGGGAGUCUCAACUCAUGUUAUUUUAUUGCAGAUUCCUGUUUCCUAUUUUUAAAUUCCCCUCACCCUUAUGCCCACCAACUCUCAGCAAGUUGCUGCUUUAACAGGUGGAUCUUUGCAGCUUCAUGGUUGGUUUUGGCCAAACUUUUUAUUUAGUAUUCUGUAGUUGCUUAACACACACUUAAAUGGUCUUAUUGGGGGAGGGGAUGGGGGAGGUUCUUGUAGAUUCCCAAGGAAAUGUCAGAAAGGCAAAAUAUGGCCAGCAUUAUCCAUUUGCUUUUUUGGAUUUACUGGGUGAAUAGCACUUUCCUUACAUAAGCAUCUGAUCUCAGGUUUUUCAUUACUGAGAACAUUGAGAUUUCAGUUUGAAGACACUCUGAAAUCCUAAGAGUGGCAUACCCCGACCACCCUCUAAUAGCUAGCUUGUUUGUAUAGGCAGAAGGAUUCACCUCUCCAUUUUAGAAGGCUAGAUGUUUGUGGAAGGUCUUAGAAUUGCUUUGCCUCAUUUACUGGGAAAAAUCAGAUAUAGGAAGUGGCCUUUAGGGACACUUUUAACUUGAAAAAUUACAACACUAGUACACAAGUUAAGUCUUAACACAUUUAACAUUUGCUUAUUGAAAGCAAUGUCAUAAAGUCAAAUAAGAUUAAACAGGUUUUACUUUUUUCCCUCACAAGAACAUAAAAAUUAUGGAAGGGGAACUUAACAGGAAAUUUUAAAAAGGUAACACAAUUUUUCCUUUUAGUAGUCCUUGGGUAGUUAUGACAGAAAAGGUUCCACUUUUUUGUUUGUUUUCUUUGAACGGGGAUUUUGGUCCAAAAUCCCACUUCACCCAUGAAGUUUUGUUUGCCAAUUUCCCUUGGGGUUGUAAUAAAGCCGAAUGUUGUGCCCCA